UUUUAUUAUUCAAAUAAUAAAUAUAAUGUGAUUUUGUAUACAACAAUAGGUAAAAUCAAAAUAUUUCUGCAUUAGUUAAGAGGAAGUCUUUUCGGGGCCUCUUGUUUGUAAACAACGCGCGGCAUUGUGGGAAAUGGGAAGGUACUAAAGACCUGAUAUACUAAAAACCUUAUUUGACCUGAUUCAAAAUCGUCAGUAAAUAUUCCAAACAAACGAAUUUUUGUAUAGCAUUUUGCAUCAUAGUCAUAAAGUAUUUAAAUAAGUCAUUUGAAGUACUCAAUAUUGUCAUUUAAUCUAAAAUAAAAACAUCAGGUAAAUAUCAGGUCUCUCGUAUAUCCGGUUAUUAGUGUGACCCAAAAGUCGGACACAUGUUUACAAACUGAAAGUUGGAAUCAUGUGAAGUUGAGCAUUCCUUACCACACAAGCUACAGGCCGUAUGUAGACAUGCACGCACAUUUAAUCUGCAGCUACGAAGUACUUUAUCAAUCCUCUGGAGCAUUAUUUUCAGCAGAAUUAUCCGAUUUAUAAAUUUGUGUGUGAAUUGUUUACGAGGAAAUUCCGACUGUUAAAUUAACAAGCUGAGCACUCUUGACUCUGGUUCGUGGUUCCCAGUGAUAAAUGUAUCGAGUGAUGAAAGAGUCGACGGUGACAUUUUAAAGUUUGAUUGGCAUGGACUAUCGGAAUGAAGAUGACUGCAGGAAUGGUUUGUUUGAUUAUUGGCCUAUCAAACAUUUUCCAGUCAUUUGAUGAUGCCACCACUUGGGAUAGUAAGCUGCAAAUAUAGACUUGUACUCAGCACUUAUUGCCUUUGAGAAGUAAGGGAUCCUUUUGACACUGAAUCUCGGUGUAUGCGGUCUCAUUGGAGUAACCCGUCUGAAGCAUUUAGCAAUGGGAUUGGAACCUGUGAUGUGUGACUGUCAUCAGAGUACUGAAAUUUGGUUCCAAGCACGAUCAUGAUUGCCAGAAGAGCAUCUGUUGGGGGAUGACAAUUAAGGAAUAAACAGCAUAAUGAAAUUGAAACAUUCAUGUGAAACAGUCUUAGUUUAUGAUAUUGACUUUAAAUAUUCAUAUUUAGAUUUUGAUUUGAGAAACAGACAUAAAUCCACAAAUAUGAACAAAUCAAUUGCUUUCAGUUUUUCAAGAGAAAUAGAUUUUGUUACAGAGUCUAUUUUUAGUUUGGAAUAAAUAUUCUUUUUAAGUAUGUGUCAGAUCUUGCAUGUUAACAUCUGUAUUGAGGUCUUCCCUUUCCAAGAGAAGACAUACCAGUUCUAAUAGUUAAGGUUAUAAAUGUGUGUAAAUAUCUGUAUUUUUACAGUAUAAUUGAUUGAUUGUUUACUGUUUAACGUCCCUCUCCAGAAUAUUUCACUUAUAUGGAGACGUCACCAUUGCCGGUGAAGGGCUGCAAAUUUAGGCCUAUGCUUGGCACUUAUGGCCUUUGAACAGGGAGGGAUCUUUAUUGUGCAACACCUGCUGUGACACGGGGCCUCGGUUUAUACGGUCUCAUUCGAAGAACCGCCCCAUUUAGUCGCCUUUUACAACAAGCAAGGGGGUACUGAGGACCUACUCUAACCCGGAAAGGUUUUUGCUAUUUGAGUCAAAGAAACAAAGAAUGGUAGCAAAGUUGACAAUUGUAACAUUUC